AUUGAACGCUGGCGGCAGGCCUAACACAUGCAAGUCGAGCGGAUGAAGGGAGCUUGCUCCUGGAUUCAGCGGCGGACGGGUGAGUAAUGCCUAGGAAUCUGCCUGGUAGUGGGGGAUAACGUCCGGAAACGGGCGCUAAUACUGCAUACGUCCUGAUGGAGAAAGUGGGGGAUCUUCGGACCUCACGCUAUCAGAGGAGCCUAGUUCGGAUUAGUUAGUUGGUGGGGUAAAGACUUACCAAGGCGACGAUCCGUAACUGGUCUGAGAGGAUGAUCAGUCACACUGGAACUGAGACACGGUCCAGACUCCUACGGGAGGCAGCAGUGGGGAAUAUUGGACAAUGGGCGAAAGCCUGAUCCAGCCAUGCCGCGUGUGUGAAGAAGGUCUUCGGAUUGUAAAGAACUUUAAGUUGGGAGGAAGGGCAGUAAGUUAAUACCUUGCUGUUUUGACGUUACCAACAGAAUAAGCACCGGCUAACUUCGUG
rnacentral:rRNA from 1 species